CUUCGGGAUUAGCGGCGGACGGGUGAGUAACGCGUGGGAACAUACCCUUUGGUACGGAAUAGCCUCGGGAAACUGAGAGUAAUACCGUAUGUGCCCUUCGGGGGAAAGAUUUAUCGCCAAAGGAUUGGCCCGCGUUGGAUUAGGUAGUUGGUGGGGUAAUGGCCUACCAAGCCGACGAUCCAUAGCUGGUUUGAGAGGAUGAUCAGCCACACUGGGACUGAGACACGGCCCAGACUCCUACGGGAGGCAGCAGUGGGGAAUCUUAGACAAUGGGGGAAACCCUGAUCUAGCCAUGCCGCGUGAUCGAUGAAGGCCUUAGGGUUGUAAAGAUCUUUCAGUGGGGAAGAUAAUGACGGUACCCACAGAAGAAGCCCCGGCUAACUCCGUGCCAGA
rnacentral:rRNA from 1 species